rnacentral:rRNA from 1 species
AACAAACGCUGGCGGCGUGCCUAACACAUGCAAGUCGCACGAGAAAGUCGGCUUCGGCCGAUGAGUACAGUGGCGCACGGGUGAGUAACGCGUGGGUAAUCUGCCCCUCGGUCAGGAAUAACCCGCCGAAAGGCGGGCUAAUACCCGAUAACACUGACGCUCUGCGGAGUGUCUUUCAAAGAAGGCCUCUGUUUACAAGCUUUCGCCGGAGGAUGAGCCCGCGUACCAUUAGCUAGUUGGCAGGGUAAUGGCCUACCAAGGCGACGAUGGGGUAGCCGGCCUGAGAGGGUGGUCGGCCACACUGGAACUGAGACACGGUCCAGACUCCUACGGGUGGCUG